rnacentral:rRNA from 1 species
CUUCGGGUUGUAAAGCUCUUUCAGCUGGAACGAAACGGUACGCUCUAACAUAGCGUGCUAAUGACGGUACCAGCAGAAGAAGCACCGGCUAACUACGUGCCAGCAGCCGCGGUAAUACGUAGGGUGCGAGCGUUAAUCGGAAUUACUGGGCGUAAAGCGUGCGCAGGCGGAUUGUUAAGCAAGAUGUGAAAUCCCCGGGCUUAACCUGGGAAUGGCAUUUUGAACUGGCAGUCUAGAGUGUGUCAGAGGGGGGUGGAAUUCCACGUGUAGCAGUGAAAUGCGUAGAUAUGUGGAGGNAACACCAAUGGCGAAGGCAGCCCCCUGGGAUAACACUGACGCUCAUGUACGAAAAGCGUGGGUAGCAAACAGGAUUAGAUACCCUGGUAUCCACCCCUAACGAUGUCANUGGUUGUUGGGGGA